GACGAACGCUGGCGGCGUGCUUAACACAUGCAAGUCGAACGAUGAAGCCCAGCUUGCUGGGUGGAUUAGUGGCGAACGGGUGAGUAACACGUGGGCAACCUGCCCCAAACUCUGGGAUAACUCCUCGAAAGAGGUGCUAAUACCGGAUACGAACUAGACAGACAUCUGUACUAGUUGGAAAGUUUUUCGGUUUGGGAUGGGACCGCGGCCUAUCAGCUUGUUGGUGAGGUAACGGCUCACCAAGGCUACGACGGGUAACCGGCCUGAGAGGGCGACCGGUCACACUGGGACUGAGACACGGCCCAGACUCCUACGGGAGGCAGCAGUGGGGAAUAUUGCGCAAUGGGCGAAAGCCUGACGCAGCGACGCCGCGUGAGGGAUGAAGGUCUUCGGAUCGUAAACCUCUUUCAGUAGGGACGAAGCGAAAGUGACGGUACCUAAAGAAGAAGCACCGGCUAACUACGUGCCAGCCGCCGCGGUAAAAC
rnacentral:rRNA from 1 species